rnacentral:rRNA from 1 species
CCUACGGGAGGCAGCAGUGGGGAAUAUUGCACAAUGGGGGAAACCCUGAUGCAGCGACGCCGCGUGAGUGAAGAAGUAAUUCGUUAUGUAAAGCUCUAUCAGCAGGGAAGAAAAUGACGGUACCUGAGUCAGAAGCCCCGGCUAACUACGGGCCAGCAGCCGCGGUAAUACGUAGGGGGCAAGCGUUAUCCGGAUUUACUGGGUGUAAAGGGAGCGUAGACGGCAGUGCAAGUCUGGAGUGAAAGGCGGGGGCUCAACCCCCGGACUGCUCUGGAAACUGUACGGCUGGAGUGCAGGAGAGGUAAGUGGAAUUCCUAGUGUAGCGGUGAAAUGCGUAGAUAUUAGGAGGAACACCAGUGGCGAAGGCGGCUUACUGGACUGUAACUGACGUUGAGGCUCGAAAGCGUGGGGAGCAAACAGGAUUAGAUACCCCUGUAGUC